rnacentral:siRNA from 1 species
UGGCACUCACUGGUGUGAUGA